GAGUUUGAUCCUGGCUCAGAUUGAACGCUGGCGGAAUGCUUUACACAUGCAAGUCGAACGGCAGCACGGACUUCGGUCUGGUGGCGAGUGGCGAACGGGUGAGUAACAUAUCGGAACGUAUCCAAUAAUGGGGGAUAACUAAUCGAAAGGUUGGCUAAUACCGCAUACGCCCUACGGGGGAAAGCUAGGGACCUUCGGGCCUGGCGUUAAUGGAGCGGCCGAUAUCUGAUUAGCUAGUUGGUGGGGUAAAGGCCCACCAAGGCGACGAUCAGUAGCUGGUCUGAGAGGACGACCAGCCACACUGGAACUGAGACACGGUCCAGACUCCUACGGGAGGCAGCAGUGGGGAAUUUUGGACAAUGGGCGCAAGCCUGAUCCAGCCAUUCCGCGUGAGUGAAGAAGGCCUUCGGGUUGUAAAGCUCUUUCGCAAGGGAAGAAAACUUAGAUACUAAUAUUAUCUGAGGUUGACGGUACCUUGAUAAGAAGCACCGGCUAACUACGUGCCAGCAGCCGCGGUAAUACGUAGGGUGCGAGCGUUAAUCGGAAUUACUGGGCGUAAAGCGUGCGCAGGCGGUUUUGUAAGUCAGAUGUGAAAUCCCCGAGCUCAACUUGUGAACUGCGUCCGAAACUACAAGACUAGAAUAUGUCAGAGGGGGGUAGAAUCCACGUGUAGCAGUGAAUGCGU
rnacentral:rRNA from 1 species